UACGGAGGGUGCAAGCGUUUAUCGGAAUUACUGGGCGUAAAGCGCGCGUAGGCGGCUUGUUAAGUCGAAUGUGAAAGCCCCGGGCUUAACCUGGGAAUUGCAUCCGAUACUGACGAGCUGGAGUGCGGUAGAGGGGGGUAGAAUUCCUGGUGUAGCGGUGAAAUGCGUAGAUAUCAGGAGGAAUACCGGUGGCGAAGGCGACCCCCUGGACCGACACUGACGCUGAGGUGCGAAAGCGUGGGUAGCAAACAGG
rnacentral:rRNA from 1 species